UAUAGGAUGCCUGAUUAAAGGGUAAUUUUGAUAGAAUUAAUCAUGUGAUUUUUCACUCUUAUAAUUA
rnacentral:tRNA from 1 species